UGGUAUUAUAUGGGGCAGCGGUAGUGAUAAAGGUGAAAGAUUCAUAGUAGGAAAUAAUCAAACUUCCACAAUUCUUGAUGACUGACAGAGAAGAACGUUCAAUGCUGAUGCUCUGUGAAGUUUCACUAGACUUUAGAAAUGACUUGAAAGAAAGGGAGAAGAGUACAGAUGCUCUGCAGACCUCUUGCCAUUGAUCCAACCAAAGGUCUAAUGGAGAGGUACUGCCUAAAGGAAUCUUCUGAGCUGUUAACAUCUGGCAGAUAUUGAAGAGGUUAUUUGGAGGAUGCAGAGCAGUCAGACAUGGAUUGAGCCAAACAUAACAGAAGCCGUUAUCCUACUCAUGAUAUGUGGAAGUGUAAUUCUUGUACCUGUCACCAUUGCUCAUUGCAUGCCCAAGAAGGCGUGUGCUGAGCAUAUCCUUCAGUGGAGAAGGACUGAGACACCACACAGUGGGAUCUUGAAAGCAUUGCCAUCGUUUAACUGAGAAGAAGCUGAAGCACAAGGAAAUUGUUCGAACUACCAAGGUCUAAGUUUAUAACAGAUUGUAACCAGAGGUGCCCGGGGGGCAUGUGUCUGAGGGAUCCCAAUUUUCUCCUUUUACUUGUCCAGCAUUCAGAAUAAAUGGAACCAUCAAAGCCUUUAAAGUUACACCAACACAAGAUUUGUGUUCCAUUGCUUCGUAUUUCACACUGGACACAUCACAUCAGAUUUUUACCUACCAUUUGCAUAUGGAUUUAUCUUUUCACCAUUUGGUUUAUGUGUGUGUGUGAUCUAUGAUCUUGCUGUUUUCAAAGUUCCAUACUUUUCUGAAAAACAAAGCAAAACCAGCUGUGUGCAAGGCCUUAGCCUACUUCUUAGUCUACUUCUUUGAAAAGGAAUAUAUCUCCAACAGGAAAAACUAAACAUCAAUGUGCAGUUCUGCAGUAUAAGUAUUCCUUUUGCCCUACUGCAGAAUUCUACUCUGAAGUCCUGUAAAUGAAGGGCACUA